rnacentral:rRNA from 1 species
AACCUCCGCAAUGUGAGAAAUCGCGACGGGGGGAUCCCAAGUGCCAUUCUUAACGGGAUGGCUUUUCAUUAGUGUAAAGAGCUUUUGGAAUAAGGGCUGGGCAAGACCGGUGCCAGCCGCCGCGGUAACACCGGCAGCUCUAGUGGUAGCAGUUUUUAUUGGGCCUAAAGCGUCCGUAGCCGGUUUAAUAAGUCUCUGGUGAAAUCCUGUAGCUUAACUGUGGGAAUUGCUGGAGAUACUAUUAGACUUGAGACCGGGAGAGGUUAGAGGUACUCCCAGGGUAGAGGUGAAAUUCUGUAAUCCUGGGAGGACCGCCUGUUGCGAAGGCGUCUAACUGGAACGGUUCUGACGGUGAGGGACGAAAGUUAGGGGCGCGAACCGGAUUAGAUACCCGGGUAGUCCUAACCGUAAACGAUGCGGACUUGGUGUUGGGGUGGCUUUGAGCUGCUCCAGUGCCGAAGGGAAGCUGUUAAGUCCGCCGCCUGGGAAGUACGUGUCGACGAACGAGUAACGUAAACG